rnacentral:rRNA from 1 species
CUGAUUAGAAGCUUGCUUCUAUGACGUUAGCGGCGGACGGGUGAGUAACACGUGGGCAACCUGCCUGUAAGACUGGGAUAACUUCGGGAAACCGAAGCUAAUACCGGAUAGGAUCUUCUCCUUCAUGGGAGAUGAUUGAAAGAUGGUUUCGGCUAUCACUUACAGAUGGGCCCGCGGUGCAUUAGCUAGUUGGUGAGGUAACGGCUCACCAAGGCAACGAUGCAUAGCCGACCUGAGAGGGUGAUCGGCCACACUGGGACUGAGACACGGCCCAGACUCCUACGGGAGGCAGCAGUGGUCAUAGCAUUUUUUUCCUGA